rfam:Triticum aestivum genome assembly, contig: Triticum_aestivum_CS42_TGACv1_scaffold_344761_4DL
AUAUGACCCCCUCCGUCCGGAAAUACUUGUCAUCAAAAUGGAUAAAAGGGGAUGUAUCUAGAAGUAUUUUAGUUUUAGAUACAUCUCUUUUUAUCAAUUUUUUAUCAAUUUUGAUGACAAGUAUUUUCGAACGGAGGGAGUACUUG